AUUGAAACCCCAGUUCCCGUACGAUCAAUUAAGUUAAGCAACGUCGAGUCUUAUCAGUACUUAGAUGGGUGUUAGCCUGGGAAUUCCAAGUGUUGUAA